rnacentral:rRNA from 1 species
UACGUAGGGGGCAAGCGUUGUCCGGAAUCAUUGGGCGUAAAGAGCGCGUAGGCGGCCCUGUAAGUCCGCUGUGAAAGUCAAGGGCUCAACCCUUGAAUGCCGGUGGAUACUGCAGGGCUAGAGUCCGGAAGAGGCGAGUGGAAUUCCUGGUGUAGCGGUGAAAUGCUUAGAUAUCGUCAAGAACACCUAUAGCGAAGGCAGCUUACUAGGCUGUAACUGACGCUGAGGCACGAAAGUGUGGGGAUCAAACAGG